CCACGUGCAGCUGAUGACAGCACAGCUGCUGAGACUCUAUGAUUGCUCAGUCUCAAAGUAAAUGACGCACUGUGG
ensembl:snoRNA SNORD105B small nucleolar RNA, C/D box 105B